CUGUGACGACGGCGUCGGUCUCAGAGCACGGCCGAAGCGUGCGGCCCGAGGACCCGGUCAUUCUUAGGAGGCGACUAGGAGACAGCAGCCCGGUGACAGCAGGAACCUCCCAGACAGCCUGGUGGCCUUGCUUUGCACCUGAUGUGGAUUCUCAUUCCUGGAGAGCCAAGAGAUAAGUUGAGGGCUGUGACUUACAGAGGGGAUGGAAGGGGGCUGCUGUGUCAGGACUCAUUAGGUGGUAUUUUUGAGUCAGCUUUGGAGCUGAGGAUAUCCAGGAAAUGUUGUCUUGAGCCCACACAAAAGCAAAGUGUCGCUUUUGAUCCCAGUGCUGAGGUGCGCAGGGCAGAGCAGUCCCGGCGUGUGUUGUGUCAUGUGGCUAUUGUGCAUUAUGUGUUGUUUAAUGUCUUUUCCCUUAGCCCUUUGAGGGGCCUAACAGAAACCCUGGCAUCAUUCUUAGCAUCUGCGAUCUCUGCAUUUCUUGGCCUGGCACCAAUGCCACAGGACUUUUGACUCAGGAGCUCAGACAGGCAUCAGAAUUGCACCUCUCUUUAGGAGCAUCCAGUCAGAUGUCUUUGCAGGUCUUGUUCUGAGCUGUAUGUACCUUGCAAGGAUCCAUUAUGGCAGAUUAGGGCUUGUAAGAAUGCAAGGAUUGGUGGAGGAUGCUGACGGUAGGAUUCUCAGACAUCCAUCUUUGUAGUUCUUGGAAUAAACCAUUGUCUUAGCAGGAUAUUCCUCCAGGGUUCUGGGAGCCUCAUCAGCUCGCCAUCAGUCUCAUCUCGGUCAUCUAAUCUUGCAUUCUCUCAGUCCUUGCAGUCAUUCUUCUUGCCAAGAGAUUCCUGUCCCUGUUGUGUCCCCCUUGUUUGUCAUGUCGUGUCCUGUGUCACGGGUGUCUGCACGUAUUUGUGCCGGAGCUGCUCUGCCCUGCUGCAUAGCCUGGUGUAAUAGGACAAAUCCUGGGGGGCUUGAAAUUUGUUGUGUGCUGUAGUUGGACUCUAGAUGAUAUUCCUAGGCUGACCCAGAUGUCUGGAGCUGUGAAGUGGUCCUGCAGCCCUUUGACAUUUUUCCUAACUUUCUUUCAGAUGCAGAUGGAUAAAAUCCAUGGCAGAGCACCCCAUCCCAGGAAGUAAAGUGAUAGAGCAACAGUCAAGUUGAAGUGGUCAAGGCAAUCUACUCAGGUUAUGCCAAGCCCCUGUCAUCAACCGGCCGAUUGACCAGGUUUGCUGCUCUCAUGAGCCCUGUGGAGGUAUUGCAGGACCCUGUGAUGAAGCCUUGAAAUUUUCUAUUUAAAGGUUGCUUCUGGGUAGCCCUCAGGAAUGGGCAACGAGCCGUGGUGAG